GCUGAGAAAUAUUGCAAAAAUGACUUCAGCUGCCAAAAAUAAUGUCGUUUACAAGCAGCUCUUCCUAUGUCUAAGGAAGAACUAGUCACACAUGCGAGUUUUUGCUGGCUUGAGAACAAGCAAGGAAAAAGACAAAUCCCACCUACCCUAGCCUAAAAUACACAGUGAGUCUCAGAACCCCGCGGAAGCUGUGGCUCAUUUCUAAAGGUGCUGGCAAUAUCGAGGAAGACUUGUAUCCACAAAAUUCCAAAUGGAAAAGAGAGAAAAGAGAACAACAAACAGAUGUGUGAAAAAAAGACACGAAGUACAAAACGGAUGUAUUAAUGGCAAAUAUUAAAUAAUCAAGUCAUUAUUGUGAAUUUGGAUCUAAAUGACCUGGCAGAAACCAUGGAGAUGAUCUUGGUAAACUCACCUAAUUUUUAAAAUGCCUCACAGAGUUUAAUUUUGCCCUUUUGUGUCAUGGUAAAUGAGAGGCUCUCUUGCCUCCACUUCAUUCCAAACUCAUGUCCCAUGAUCUGCAAGGAAUGUUUUCUCUUUAUUUGCAAGGAUACUGCUCAAGCUUCUAUUUAUGAGCCCCUGAACAAUAGAAUAGACAGCCCCACUGAGACUCUUUUGCCUUUGUGUGGUACAAAGGGACCUCCCUCUAGGAGAAGACAAAAAUAAUUUAAGUCUAUAACUCAUUUUAAAAAAUCAAAACAAAGCAAACAAAACAGAAAAACCCCAGCAUUCAAUUAUUUCUGCUUUCUAUUGGAACUGGAGAUCCUCCUUUUUAACUGAAUUAGCAUAUUCCUGACCUCAGGAACUGCAGCUAUUAUGAAAUUUAUAAUCUGUUUAUAUACCUAACAUAGUAUUCUUAUUCUUAAAUAAGUUCCUAAGUAAAUAUUUGUGAAAUGAUAUUUCCCUUAAUUCAUUCUUAUUGUGCAGUUAAUGAGAUUAUUUGUCAUUGGAUAUUGACUAUAAAAUCAGUGUUGAAAGCCUUUACUAAUUAUUUAUACUAAUGUAUCAUUUAAUGUUUAUUCUAGCUUCCUAUGCAGACAGCCUAGUUAGGUCUGAUUAUGUCCAUGGGCCUAUCUCUAUAGAACAGGCAGAGACAUUAAUGCUAAAUAAAGUACAAUGAAGAAAAGUAAUUUUUUUUGCAUGUUAGUUCUUUGUUUUGCACUUUGUUUCAUUGAAUUGUAACAGAAAGAGCUUGAAGAGAUGAGCUAAAAUAAAGGUAGGCAAUUCAAAGAUAUUUUGAUUGGAAUUGCUGGGUAAGUGAGUGGAGAGAAAAAUGUUGGAAUACCUGAGCAUUCUCUCUCAGUGGCCUAGUUGAACCCCAGGGAACAUUUUGUUCUGAGGGUGAUUUAAAGACACUGAUAAAUAAGAAGGCAUCCUGUUAAGCUAGUUAAAGCUAGACUGAAUAAGAUAGGUUAGUCUGGUACUAAUUUGGGAUAGUUGAGUAGCAAUGGUGAGCCUGAUAAGGCAGGGUGGCUCUCAGUACUCACUCAGCCAUUGGUACCAAAGGAAAAUCAAAGGCUGCAAAAAUGCCAUGUUAUUAAAUAUGUUUUAGGAUGUCUGAAGACUCAUCACAGCCACCUAAGCCCAUAAACUAUUAAACAUGACAUCUAUGCUAUUUAUUAACACAGGAAAAAGGUACACUUUUUUUUUUAAUGCACAGACAUUACAUGGAGACAUAUAUUUUUCCAAACCAGUGCUUAUCUUGAGAGAGUUAAGAACUGUCGACAAACUACUCUAAUGAGGCUGUUUUCUGAGGGAAAGCAAGCUCAGUAAAUCACUCUGCUUUUCUUUGGUCUUUUCGUCCUGCAUGUAAAAUUUUAACCACAUCUGACAGAGGAAGUGAAUCUCUGGGCCAAAAUACUCAACAAAUGUCUUAUCCACAGAUAGAGACUGGUAAGUUCUGGAAGGUGCUUCAUAGUGUUCCAAAGUGUGUCAUCCCUGUGCUUAUGCAUUUGUAUCAAGGAUUUAAAGAGGAAAAACUCAAAGCAAUGUAUUCUGAUCAAGAAAUGGCAGGAAAUGGCAGCUACCUGAUAUGGAACAAUCAACAACUGAAGGUUUAUUUUGAAUGAGAGGUGUUGUCCAACUGCGAGACGGAGUGAUUGAAGCUGAGAAUAAAUGGAAACACAAUCAAUAGUCACUCCAGUGAGGUAGGAAAGAAAGCCAUUCCGAAGUGGCAGAGAAGCUGCUUUUUCCUCCUGCAUGCUGCCUGCUAGUGUGGAUCUUGGCAUAACAGACACUACUUGGCAAAAGAUCCAUCCUUCCUUUUCCUAUACUUUGCUCAGCGGCCUGGAAGAUUGACCUCAAAAGCAAAAUCACCUGGAUUUCCUUGCCAUUUGGCUUUCAAAUGUGCUCAGCCAAUGACAGGCUGGAAAGAAAUUGACAGCUGGGAAAAGAGGAAGAUUUGUGUACAAGAUCCCUUCCACUCCCAUCUCAUUACCUGCCAUGGUCCUAGCAGUGGCUGUUCUUAUUAUGGCCACAACUACUCUUGGACAGGCCAACAUCCACAACUCCAUCCUUCAACUAGGCUUCAUUAACACUGUCCCUCACCCUUAUCUCUUUCUGGGUAGGGGUGAUAAAGGUUUCCUGACAUCAGAGUUCCUGAGUGCCUCAUAUAUUCUUGUUGGUCCCUGAACCUUGCCCCAACAUCAAUAAAAAGUUCCUUCAUUAAAUAAUUUUCAGUUGAAUCUUUCGUGCUGGGAUCUGUCCAAUUCGACUUUAGCAUACUUUUCGUGCCAAGAAAGUGAUAGUUUCUUGCCAGGAUUUGGCUCAAAGGGCUCACAGUGGGUGAGGGGAUGAGAUUACUUAUUAAGUGAUAAAAUGGAGAUCACAGUGGUUAACCUGCCUAAGAUCACAUGGUUGGUCAACUCAUGGUCGAUUCAUUAAAAUAUUAAAACAUAGAAUCAGUCAGGC
rnacentral:lncRNA from 10 species